GAUGAAGAACGUAGCGAAAUGCGAUAAGUAAUGUGAAUUGCAGAAUUCCGUGAAUCAUCGAAUCUUUGAACGCACAUUGCGCCCCUUGGUAUUCCAUGGGGCAUGCCUGUUCGAGCGUCAUUUGUACCUUCAAGCUUUGCUUGGUGUUGGGUGUUUGUCCCUCGGGACUCGCCUUAAAGUCAUUGGCAGCCAGUGUUUUGGUUUUGAAGCGCAGCACAAGUCGCGAUUCAAGGCUAUCCGCCCGCUUCCACAAGCCUUUUUCACUUUUGACCUCGGAUCAGGUAGGGAUACCCGCUGAACUUAAGCAUAUCAAUAAGCGGAGGA
rnacentral:misc_RNA from 1 species